ACAGUCACCCCAGUCAUCCUGGGCGACACUUGACACAGAUCCUCUUCGUCUUGUCCUCUUGUUUUUCAGGCUGAGGAUGACCUGAACGUCUGAUCCUCCUUCGAAGCACCUCAUGGAGUGCUCAAAGACAUAUGCCACUACAUGGAGAUUUAUUCUGUACUAAGGAUCAGACUCAGCCUCAGGCAUACUGGAUGAGCUACAACCCCAGCCCCAAACAGUUCAUUUCCAGCUCAGCCAGAGAAAAGAACACUUCUAACGAUUGAUUGGCUAGUUAACUAAUUAUUUAGACAGGGCUUGUCUAGCUCAUGCCAGCCUGACUCACUAUAGUGUCCACAGCGAUCCCCCUGUCUCUACUGCCCAGUUGCUAGAUUAGAGGUACGAAUCACUA
rnacentral:lncRNA from 1 species